CUUGCUUCUUCGAUCGAGUGGCGGACGGGUGAGUAACGCGUGAGGAACCUGCCUUGAAGAGGGGGACAACAGUUGGAAACGACUGCUAAUACCGCAUGAUGCAUAGGGAUCGCAUGAUUCUUAUGCCAAAGAUUUAUCGCUUCAAGAUGGCCUCGCGUCUGAUUAGCUAGUUGGUGAGGUAACGGCCCACCAAGGCGACGAUUGGUAGCCGGACUGAGAGGCUGAACGGCCACAUUGGGACUGAGACACGGCCCAGACUCC
rnacentral:rRNA from 1 species